rnacentral:rRNA from 1 species
AUGAUCCAAAUCAUCGAUGAUCCUAGUGCCGAACGGAUGGCACCUCCAUGUUCAACACACUCCAAACUGAUGGAAAAGGCUUGGCAAUCCAGUUUUAAUUUGGAUGCAAUCUGCAUCAAGGAAUCAGAAAAUCGAGCUCGCAAGCAGGCUGAAUAUUUGAGAACUAGUCUAGAGGAGUAUAGUCUUGAGCUUUGUGUAAAAGGAGCAAAUGAAGCCGAAACUGCAUGCCAGCGAAGGCUUUGCAUUGCUGAAGCAGAACUGGAAGAGUUAAGGACCGAUGUAGAUGCAUCUGAAAGAGAUGUUCUGGGACUCAAGGAGGCAAUAAGAAUUAAAGAAACGGAAGGAGAUGCUUAUAUCUCUGAAAUUGAGACAAUUGGUCAAGCAUAUGAAGACAUGCAGACACAAAACCAGCAUCUUCUUCAACAGGUUGCCGACAGAGAUGAUUUUAACAUAAAGCUAGUAUCAGAUAAUGUGAAGACAAAGCAAGCCUCUGCUUCCCUUCUCUCUGAAAAGCAUUUGUUACAGAAGCAACUCCAUCAGGUGAACAGUUCACCGGAGUCAUCUAAACAAAAACUCUCCCGUGGUGAAGAGCAGAUGUGCCACAACAGUUUCAGAUUCAUAGCCAUAAAAAGGAUCAGAUUCAAUCAAAGUAAUUAUUUCAGGAUCAACAGAGAAUUCAUAAUCCUUAUCAGUAACACAGAUAGCAUAGCUUCAUUCUCCUCAACAAUACCACAUCGAAUCAUGCCAGUUUGUAAUUCCUGA